rnacentral:rRNA from 1 species
UACCUGGUUGAUCCUGCCAGUAGUCAUAUGCUUGUCUCAAAGAUUAAGCCAUGCAUGUCUAAGUACAGGCCGAAUUAAGGCGAAACCGCGAAUGGCUCAUUAAAUCAGUUAUGGUUCAUUGGAUCUUACCUUGUCCUACUUGGAUAACUGUGGUAAUUCUAGAGCUAAUACAUGCAAGCAAGCCCCGACCGGCGACGGGAAGGGCGCUUUUAUUAGAUCAAAACCAAUCGGGCUCUUCGGGGCCCGUACCCCAGUGGUGACUCUGAAUAACUUUGUGCUGAGCGCACGGUCCUGGUACCGGCGCCGAAUCCUUCAAGUGUCUGCCUUAUCAGCUUUCGAUUGUAGGUUAUGCGCCUACAAUGGCUAUAACGGGUAACGGGGAAUCAGGGUUCGAUUCCGGAGAGGGAGCCUGAGAAACGGCUACCACAUCUAAGGAAGGCAGCAGGCACGCAAAUUACCCACUCCCGGCUCGGGGAGGUAGUGACGAAAAAUAACGAUGCGGGACUCAUCCGAGGCCUCGCAAUCGGAAUGAGUACACUUUAAAUCCUUUAACGAGGAUCUAUUGGAGGGCAAGUCUGGUGCCAGCAGCCGCGGUAAUUCCAGCUCCAAUAGCGUAUAUUAAAGUUGCUGCGGUUAAAAAGCUCGUAGUUGGAUUCGAGUCACGGAGCGAGGGUUCACCGCCCGGUGCUUACUCUCCGCCAUCCGGACGUUGAUGUCGGCGUGGCACGGGGUGCUCUUCACCGAGUGUCCCGGCGCCGCCGACGAGUUUACUUUGAAAAAAUUAGAGUGCUCAGAGCAGGCCGUUCCUGACGCGCCUGAAUAGUUGUGCAUGGAAUAAUGGAAUAGGACCUCGGUUCUAUUUUCCGUUGGUUUUCGGAACCCCGAGGGUAAUGACUUAAUAGGAACAGUCGGGGGCAUUCGUAUUGCGACGUUAGAGGUGAAAUUCUUGGAUCGUCGCAAGACGAACUACUGCGAAAGCUUUUGCCAAGA